AUACGUAGGUGGCACGCGUUGUCCGGAUUUACUGGGUGUAAAGGGCGCGUAGGCGGGAUUUUAAGUCAGAUGUGAAAUACCGGGGCUUAACCCCGGAGCUGCAUUUGAAACUGUGGUUCUUGAGUGAAGUAGAGGCAAGCGGAAUUCCUGGUGUAGCGGUGAAAUGCGUAGAUAUCAGGAGGAACACCGGUGGCGAAGGCGGCUUGCUGGGCUUUUACUGACGCUGAGGCUCGAAAGCGUGGGUAGCAAACAGGAUUAGAUACCCUGGUAGUCCACGCUGUAAACGAUGAUUACUAGGUGUGGGGGGACUGACCCCUUCCGUGCCGCAGUUAACACAAUAAGUAAUCCACCUGGGGAGUACGGCCGCAAGGUUGAAACUCAAAGGAAUUGACGGGG
rnacentral:rRNA from 1 species